rnacentral:rRNA from 1 species
CAGGCGGUUGCUUAGGUCUGAUGUGAAAGCCUUCGGCUUAACCGAAGAAGUGCAUCGGAAACCGGGCAACUUGAGUGCAGAAGAGGACAGUGGAACUCCAUGUGUAGCGGUGGAAUGCGUAGAUAUAUGGAAGAACACCAGUGGCGAAGGCGGCUGUCUGGUCUGCAACUGACGCUGAGGCUCGAAAGCAUGGGUAGCGAACAGGAUUAGAUACCCUGGUAGUCCAUGCCGUAAACGAUGAGUGCUAGGUGUUGGAGGGUUUCCGCCCUUCAGUGCCGGAGCUAACGCAUUAAGCACUCCGCCUGGGGAGUACGACCGCAAGGUUGAAACUCAAAGGAAUUGACGGGGGCCCGCACAAGCGGUGGAGCAUGUGGUUUAAUUCGAAGCUACGCGAAGAACCUUACCAGGUCUUGACAUCUUGCGCUAACCUUAGAGAUAAGGCGUUCCCUUCGGGGACGCAAUGACAGGUGGUGCAUGGUCGUCGUCAGCUCGUGUCGUGAGAUGUUGGGUUAAGUCCCGCAACGAGCGCAACCCUUGUUACUAGUUGCCAGCAUUAAGUUGGGCACUCUAGUGAGACUGCCGGUGACAAACCGGAGGAAGGUGGGGACGACGUCAGAUCAUCAUGCCCCUUAUGACCUGGGCUACACACGUGCUACAAUGGACGGUACAACGAGUCGCAAGCUCGCGAGAGUAAGCUAAUCUCUUAAAGCCGUUCUCAGUUCGGACUGUAGGCUGCAACUCGCCUACACGAAGUCGGAAUCGCUAGUAA